rfam:Schistosoma mansoni strain Puerto Rico chromosome 2, complete genome
ACAUUGCUGAGGAGUCUCAUCAUAGGACGAAACGGCCGUUCAGUGC